CACGCGCACAGGCCGAGCAGGUUUGCUGUAAGAAAGCCAGGACAAAAAUCCUAACCCAACCCCAAACCCCACGUUGUACAGCAUGGCCAGGAAUGGGAUCCCCCACGUUCUCCUCCCAGUCUGAGAAGACAAGAAAAUAAACAAGGAAAAUGUCUGUGCCGAUGGCAUCUGUUGGCUCCCUCAUAAGCACCACCAGCUGGGCUGGACCAGGAGUGGGGUCCAGAGGCAAACAAGGCCAGGCUGCUCCCUGAACU